rnacentral:lncRNA from 1 species
UCCUGCAUUAUUAGUAGAAUCUUUUUCCUUUCUUGAAGGCAAGUCAUUAGGUUGUCCAAGAUACAAGAAUAUUCAUACAACAUAUUUCAUAACUAUAUGACUUGACAUAAGAUAAGACAAUGAUUGAAUUUGAGUCACUCUACUCAAGAGAUUGCGUAAAUAUAAGCAAGCACAAGUCACUUGAACUAAAGAGAUAAUUUUAUUAAAUAAUAUGGUUCAAGGACACCUAUGUGAGGCAAUAAGAAGAUUUAUCAAAGUCAAACCAAUUUCUUAUUUUCAGAAGCAAUUUAGCUUAGAUUCUAUUUGCUUAAGUUAAUUAUCAAUAAGAUAUACCAGUUAAGUAAAUUAUCUUAAAUAGUUGUUUCUAUCAAAAUUCUGGUUAUGAUUCGGCUUUCAAUACAAAUAAUCUUGUUUCAGAGAGAUAGGCAAUUUUCUUUUAGAUUAAUUAAGAUUUUAUAUUUGACUUAUGGGAGAUGGUUCAAAGGAAUUAAUAUUCAUACUUUUAGAAUAUUUUUAUGCUCAGAUUAAACAUGACGUGUUAACAUUAAUCAGUAGAAUUUGAGAUGAUUUUAUGUAAGGAUAUUAAUCAUUCAAUCAAGGAUACAAUGAUUAUACUAAAUGAAACACUUUAAAGAUCAGAAUUAUUAAUCUUAGUUUUUUAGAAUAGUCUUGAGAAUUACUUAAAAAAAAACAAUCCAUUGUUAUAAAACUUUUUAGUAGAAUUCCCAUUAUGAUCACGACAUAUUAAUCAUUUAUGAUUGAAACAUAUGAUGCAUACAUGCGACUUAUAGAGUAAAUCAUAAUAUAUUUCAAAUAAUCACAUAAGGAAUGAGUGAUAUAAUGAUAAAUUAUACUCAUACCUUCACAAAUAAUGAAAUAAGAUUUCAUAAGUGUUAUGCUCAAUAAAGUUUUAACAUGAAGGUAUGAAAUCAGCAUCAAGUAUUUAUACUAGAGAGGGAAUUUAGAUUUUGUAAACUUGAAGAAGAAGGUUAUAUAUAUA